CUCACGUGCCUCUCCCUUUCACACAAAAGCCAUUGAAGAGCAAAUCCUUCAGUACAUUUCUUCAGAGCAACAUCACCCACACCGAACCCUUCAGUACAUUUCUUCUUCUCCAAUCUCACACCCCAUUCACGGCCUUUCUUCUCCGAUUUGCCUUUCGUUCUUCAUCCUUCACCCUUCCCACGACAACCCAUCCGACGAAGAAGAUCUCAAACGCCGCUCAACCUCAGGCACUGUGAACUCUGGCGACAACACCGCCAAACCGAGACCACCACACCACUUCAUUUGUGGUUUGUCUACUCACAGUAAGAUAGCACAUGAAUCACAAGAGGCAGAUGACAAAAUGUGGCCUCCCCAUGUAGAACAUAUCUUUAUUGAGAUUAUGUUAGAGGAACAACUUAAGGGUAAUAUGGAGAAUGGUGUCUUCAAGGGUCCUAUGUGGCAAUCAAUUACUGCCAAACUUAAUACACGGACCAGGAAAUCCUUUCCCCAUAAGAAAGUGGUUCAGAAGCACAAUAAGCUCCGACUAAAACAACGCAAGUAGAGCUAGUUGCUUAAGCACACAGGAUUGUGGUGGGACGAGCACACCCAAACAGUGACUGGUCCUGAUGAGGUUUGGGCGAAUGUGGUUGCAGCAAUUGUCAGGCAGCUAACUUACGGAAACAGGGAUGUCUAGACCAUGACAAGCUACAUCAGUUGUUUGCCCUUAGAACUGCAACUGGGAGCUUGCAGAUCUUUUCAAACACUCCUGCCCUGAACAGUGAUGAAAAGCGUGCCUUGAAGGAAGAACUUUCAAAUGCCAGUGCACCCACCUUUCUGGACGAUGACUAUUGCACUCCAAACUUUGAGAGUAUUCAUAGAUUGUGGAGGAUACUGAGGUUGAAGAGCCAAUCCAAAGGGCGGGAAAACGUCCAGUGUAGGAUGGAAGUGGCAAGAAUAAGAAGGUAUCCAAGAAAACGAAUAGGGUAAGUGACAUGACUGUGGCCUUAAAGGAGUACACCGCAAUGACAAAGGAGAGGUUUAGCGAAAAACAAGGUCACUUAUGGUGUCAGGAAAUGAAUGGUUAGGGGUAUUCCAACGAUAUGAUUUUGAUGAUGCUUACUUCAAUGACGUUGCAUCCAAUGAUGCCCGUGAAGAUAAUGACGAUGACUGGACGGAUUCAGAGUGUGAUAGUGAAGAAGAAGUAGAGUUCAAUUUAGUGAAUCCUAUAGUCAAGGAGAUGUAUGCGUACAUGCAGCGGCAUUUCGAUAAACAACUAAUGCAUACAAGUAUGUUGACCGGCAGUGUGUAUAUGGACAAACUCACUGAAGGUAAUCCACUUAAGUGUUACGAGAUGUAUCGCAUGACACGUGAGUUACUGGAUCAUUUAGUGGACGAGUUGGCUCGACAUGGUUAUUUGAGGGAUGGGCAAGGUGGGUGGAUGUCACCCAGGCAGUGGCCAUGUUAUUGUACAUACUUGGACAUAACACCUGCUAUAGAUGUGUUACAGAUAGGUUUCAGUACUUAACAGAAACCGUGUCCUGGCAUUUUCGUCAGGUGUUGUGGGUUAUCCACUCAUAUACGAAGCAUUUAAUUAAACCUGAUUCGAAUGUCAUGGGCCUCUCUGAACAUCUUCAAGUGAACAAGUACUGGCCAUGGUUUGAGAAAUGUGUAGGAGCAAUUGAUGGUACACAAGUGAGUGCUCGACCUCCUGCAAAUGCGACUUAGGCACAUAGGAGCCGCAAGAUUACUAUAACAACUAAUGUGCUGUGUGUGUUUAACAUGGACAUGUAGUUCACUUAUGUCCAUGUUGGGUGGGAGGGCAGCGCCAAUGACUCAAGGGUGCUCGAAGAAGCGAUUAGUAACCGAAAGUAUGGAUUCCCAUGGCCACCAAUAGGGUUAUAUUACUUGGUGGAUUCGGGCCUACCAAUUGGCACAAUUUUUUCCCCCUCACAAGUCAACUAGGUACCAUGCUCAGGAGUUCCGCUCAAGUAAUAGACGACCAACAUCAAAGAAAGAGUUGUACAACUAUAGGCACUCUUCCUUGCGGAUGGUUAUUGAGUGAUCUUUUGGAGUGCUAAAGGCCCGUUUCCCUAUUCUAAAUUUAAUGUCAAACUUUAAGCAAAGUAGACAACGUUACAUAAUUGUUAUGUGUUGUGCCCUUCACAAUUUCAUACGCAUUAACAACUGGGGCAAUGAACUAUUCACCACAUUAGGAGAUGACACACAGUCUGAAGAAGGUGAGUCCAAUAGCGAGGGAAAUGGCAAUGGAAAUACUGGAGUAUUAACUAGCUCAGCAACCCAAAGGCAUGUAAUGGAAAUGUCGGAUGAAGCGAAAAAACGCAUGGCCCAAUUUAGGGGUGAUAUCACUAACACAAUGUGGGCUGACUAUGUUGCCUAUGGCCAUUGACCUAUGAUGUUGCAUUGUAAACACUAUUCAUUUUGGAACUUAUUCACAUGGUAGCCUAUGUGAAGCAAUUAGCGCUUAUGUUAACGGAUGUAGGGAUUAGUUAUUUAUGUAAGAGUAUUGCGCUAUUUUGCAAUUGUAUGGACAACGCACAUAUGCAUGCUUCUAAUAUAUUAUCAGCAUUAGUAUUCGAUGAU